CAGAGGCCCCAAGCGUUACUGAGAAUCACUGGGUUUAAAGGGUGCGUAGGUGGUCCGUUAAGUCUGUUGUGAAAGCCCUUGGCUCAACCAAGGAAUUGCUUCGGAUACUGGCGGACUUGAGGCUAGUAGAGGUCACUGGAACUGACGGUGGAGCGGUGAAAUGCGUAGAUAUCGUCAGGAACGCCGGUGGUGAAGACGGGUGACUGGGCUAGUUCUGACACUGAGGCACGAAAGCGUGGGGAGCGAACGGGAUUAGAUACCCCGGUAGUCCACGCCCUAAACGAUGCAGACUAGACUGCAGCGGGUUACACCCCGUUGCGGUCGGAGCGAAAUUGUUAAGUCUGCCACCUGGGAAGUACGGUCGCAAGGCUA
rnacentral:rRNA from 1 species